AACGCAUCUUGCGCCUUUUGGUAUUCCGAAAGGCACACUUGUUUGAGUGUCAUGAACUACCUCGAGUUCUUUGUCAAGAAAUCGGAUGAUGAGUGUUGCUGUGCUUACAGCUCACUUGAAAUGUAUUAGUUUCUCUUUUUGUCGGAUUGACUUGGUGUAAUAAGACUUUCACCAAAGGACGUGCUUCUGCAGCCGACUUUAAGGGUACUGCCAAAUUGAACCCAAUUUAGACCUCAAAUCAAGUGGGACUACCCGCUGAACUUAA
rnacentral:misc_RNA from 1 species